CGCGCCUGCUGCAGCACCCCUUCCUGCGCCGCGCCGGCCCGCCCGCGCUGCUCGUGCCGCUCAUGCCGCCGCCGCCGAGGCCCGCCCCCGCCACCUGUAAUUAAGAUAUUCCUAACGACUUACCAGAUGCCCACCAGUUCGACACGAAAAAGACGUAUUUAUUUUAUCGAAGUGACAAGUGGCGUAGAGCUUGCAGCUUCUUAUCAUUUAGCAUUCCCACAACGAUCAUGACAAACCAAAGUUGUUACGAAGCAACUUGUAAUGUGUAAUUUUAGUUUUUUGUACAAAAUAGUCGUUACGUCACGCAUUUUAGCUAUCGUAAGCGGGAAUUACGUAUAGACCUGAAAUGUUGGUAUCCUAUAUUGUAUUACUAUAAGUUUACUAUUCCACAUAUUUAUAAACUAAAAUGUUACUUUCCAUAUCAAUAGGUGCCUUAUGAUAUCAUGAUAUGACAAGUGAUUAAGGUAGGCUUUUCAAAUAGAAAGCCGCAAAUAUCUACUUUAAAUGCAAAUAACUAACAGCCGGUUGCUCAAAAAUUGUAUGUAAAGUGACUUCUUAGCCGAGUAAAAAAGUAAUAAGCCGUUGAUUGUGGUCGGUGGAACCGGUCAGUGUUGUCUAAAACAGUGGAUUUUCAGUCAAGAAUGGUGCAAACAAGAGUAAUGUGAAAUCUACUUUGUACUAAACUAUUGUAUAAUUAUUCGUUUUGCUAUUUUAAAUCGCUUAUGUUCCAACUGUUCGAAAUCAUAAUCAAGUUAGUGUUGGAUUCAUAAAUUCCAUAAAUAAUGAAGAUUUACAUACUGUUGACAUUUGAUACCUACAUAUAUAAUAAUAAAAAGCUACAAUCCUAAACACAUACCGAAUGACAAGAUUUAUGACUUCAUCUACGAUAACAGAAAACACCACUUAAUAAUUAUUUAUAAUGGUUGGUUAUGGCCCGCAUUAUAAAUAUAAAACCCUUUAAAAAGGAAAAAAUAAAAGAAAAUAUUAAUUAGGUAUUGUGUACAAUGAAGACAUGAUUCAAUGCACCAAAUUAACAAAAAAAAAACAAACUACUUUCCCUUCUACUUCUGCGUGGAAUGAAUUUAUUUGCAUCUUUCUUAUCUGAAAUCCACUCGUAGCCUAAAUUUAACAGCUUUCAAAUAACAAUUUAAUAUACUUGACAACGUAUUUUACAAAUUUCAAAUACGUAAUUUCCGCGUCUUCUCUUCCAGUGAAGUCAUUCCAUUGCCGAUCCAUAUACUACAUGUAUGGAAAACAUUCCUUUUGUUUCUAUUUUCUCUUGAACAUGUAAUCGAUAUAUCGUUGAAAUAUAUUUAUCGUGUUUUUAUGCCAUAAAAUUGUUGGAUACAUGUUUGUUGUAGAUUUAUGUGUUAGUGUAUGCCUUUAAGCGUUAAGUAAUAUUAUCACGUUUCUAUAACUCCCGUCCAAAUGGAGUGUUAUACUGUUUUCUUGCACUAUAAUAUUAUAUUCAUACCUUUAUGACUUAAAACAAGCCUUUUACACUUAUUUAGGUUCUUACCGAAUCGUGUCUUGUUAUACAGUGUGUUUUAAAUUAGUUUCUUAAAAGAUGACAAAAAUGAAUCAGUAUUAUCGAGUUGCAAGACGGCUGCUGUUGUACUUAACUUACUAAAUUAUAAAUCGAUAUUAGUAGAUAUUAUUCGUAAUCGUAAGUUAAAAACGUCGAUUAAUCUUCUACAUUCCGAUUCCGGUAUUCGGGUAUUUUAAAUUUCUAUUUUCUUAUUUUUAUAUUCAACUUUAUACUUGAUAUGUAAUGUUAUUAAAUGAAAUUUACAAAACGGUCAUAUCAGCCGAUGUUUAGACUUAAGACUGGGCCCUUUUUUUUCAUGGAACCAGUGUCCUGGCCCAUCAAAUUCAGUGGCAGCUAUAUUAUUAUUUAAAAAAAACAAAAUGGGUCAAAAUGGAGGGACUUUAAUCCUUACAUCAUACUUAUAACCGAUGAAUAGGCGCAGUUGCUUACUUGUCCCGAAUUAACUUAUUGUUUCUCGUACGAGUGUUCGAAAUCUUAGUAAAAUCAUACAUUUUUGCAUUCGAGCGUAUGAACGAAGUUUUAUUAGCAAUAAGAAUAAACAGAGUCACAAAUACCCUUUUUUUCCAGUCGAUAGGUAUUUUAAAGAAGUUAGGAUGACUAAAAAGCGAUUUGGCCUUAAAACUGUGAUGUCUUGAACCUGAUUAUGAUAUUUUAUCUAAAUGAAAUUUUGUCUGCCAGAUAUUUUUACAAAAGAUUACAUUACUUGCCAGAUUUUUGAGGACUACUGCCCUCUGGAACUCACUGAAAUUCAUUUGAACGACUAAUUUCUGAACUUAGGUAGAUUGCGCAAAAAAAAACUAUAACAGACAUACGAACUGGUCACAGAUUCCUUAAUAAUUUUACAAAGUAAUAGUCGUUCGAGGUUUGAGUGAUUUUUGUAUGUAAAAACAAACCACGCAAUUUUGGCUUAUAUGUUAAGUGAGUAAUAUUACUAACAAAGUAUUGUAUGUGAAUUAUAAAGCUAGAGUUGUGACUAAAUGAUACAUACAAUCGGAAACAUAGGCAGCUAGAUGUUACUAAAAUAGACUAGAGCCUUACCUAGACUUAGUGCCUUAACACAGCCUAGAUUGUUGAAAGCACGUUUGUUAUUUACAAUAUUUGCUCGUAUUUAUACAGUAACACGUUAAAGUAGAUCUUCAUCACAAAUCAUUUUCAUUGUCUUCUUGCGACAUGAUGUUAUUCAUCAGAAUGUCAUAAUUUAUUUGUAUCAAUUUCAAAUUUAUGUAAGGUAUAUGCCAAAUAUUUUGUAAAAUUAUGAUAUCACAUUGUUAUAAGAUUGUUAUGAAAUAUAGAUUUUGAGAAAAAGAA